rnacentral:rRNA from 1 species
AGAGCGAACGCUGGCGGCAGGCCUAACACAUGCAAGUCGAGCGCCCCGCAAGGGGAGCGGCAGACGGGAGAGUAACACGUGGGAACGUACCCUUCAGUUCGGAACAACCCAGGGAAACUUGGGCUAAUACCGGAUACGUCCGUAAGGAGAAAGAUUUAUCGCUGAAGGAUCGGCCCGCGUCUGAUUAGCUUGUUGGUGAGGUAACGGCUCACCAAGGCUACGAUCAGUAGCUGGUCUGAGAGGAUGAUCAGCCUCACUGGGACUGAGACACGGCCCAGACUCCUACGGGAGGCAGCAGUGGGGAAUAUGGACAAUGGGCGCAAGCCUGAUCCAGCCAUGCCGCGUGGAUGAUGAAGGCCUUAGGGUUGUAAAGUCCUUUCGACGGGGAAGAUAAUGACGGUACCCGUAGAAGAAGCCCGGCUAACUUCGUGCCAGCAGCCGC